rnacentral:tRNA from 1 species
GGUCUUAUAGUUUAAUAAAAACUUUAAAUUGCAAAUUUAAAAAUGUUAUCAUAUCUUCUAAGACUU